GCAAACUAUGUUUAGAAAAAAAUAAUGGAUUGUGUUGUAAUGCUCACUGAAUCUCAAGUAUUCCGUAAGUAAGCUUCACAGAUAUGAAGUGCUUUAGGUGUAUUUUCACAAUACCGGUGUUUGAGAGAAAUAGGAAAAACACACAAUAAUAUGUAUACAAUGUAGUCCUUUUACAGUGUGUUUGUGUGCCUCAGACACAGCAGCUAUGGAAUUUUUAUUCCAAAAUGUGCUAACAAGCAAAUGUAUCAUUGUCUGAUUUCUAUCCCACAUUUCUGUAGGUUCUGUUUGCAAUGAUCUGGUUUAAAUCAAAGCUUGUGUACCAACAUGUGGGUUAGGAUCUAAAUAAAGCACUGUCC